GUAAAUAGUGAACAUGGGAUAAACCUCCCUUGUAUUGCUAUACACGAUAAGUUUACAUUACAAAACCAAACAAAAUAGUUAGUGUGACUCCUCAAGAAGCUCUCGGCCAAGACGACUCCUAUACCAGUGAAGAUUGAAUUUGUUGAAUAUUGUUGGAACAACCGGUGCGACUUUUAACUAACUUAGCGGAAUAUCGAGGUUUAGCAGACGGUCGGGUGCAUGAUGGUCAGCGCACAGGCUAGAGUUCCUGCAGCUUCUUUUCUUGUUUUUGGUGAGCUCACCUUUGCACUCGUGGGGCCACUUUGUUUCAGUUGUAUAUUUUUGAAUAGUGCGGGCUAGCCCUGCAACUUUAUUAUUCCAUUCGUUGCGUCAUAGAGGCUCCAUAAAGUAUGUGUAUUAUUUUGGGCAGUGGGUACUCACAUGGCAUCGCGGAUGACAUUUUACUUAUGUCCAAAUUACGCUAUGAACAUUUAUUGUUAUUGAAGUUUAUCUCAUUUCUCUCGUCUAA